rnacentral:rRNA from 1 species
AGCAGCCGCGGUAAUUCCAGCUCCAAUAGCGUAUGUUAAAGUUGUUGCAGUUAAAAAGCUCGUAGUUGAAUUUCGGGGUUAGUAGAUUGGUCAUGCCUCUGGUAUGUACUGGUCUCACUGAUUCCUCCUUCCUGAUGAACCUUAAUGCCAUUAAUUUGGUGUUUUGGGGAAUUUGGACUGUUACUUUGAAAAAAUUAGAGUGUUUAAAGCAAGCUAACGCUUGAAUACAUUAGCAUGGAAUAAUGAAAUAGGACGUUCGAUCCUAUUUUGUUGGUUUCUAGGAUUGACGUAAUGAUUAAUAGGGAUAGUUGGGGGCAUUAGUAUUCAAUUGUCAGAGGUGAAAUUCUUGGAUUUAUUGAAGACUAACUACUGCGAAAGCAUUUGCCAAGGAUGUUUUCAUUAAUCAAGAACGAAAGUUAGGGGAUCGAAGACGAUCAGAUACCGUCGUAGUCUUAACCAUAAACUAUGCCGACUAGGGAUCGGAUGAUGUUAAUUUUUUAAUGACUCA